UUAAAUACUUGUUAGGUGAGGCUCCUAUAUAAACAUAGGCUACUGCUCAGAAAUGUCGAAAGACAGGCACGGGUAGGACAGAAUUCGUCGAAUUAAGGCGUUUUCCAAAGUAGCUAAAAGCAAUGCUUUUUACGUUAUAUAGUGCUAAAACUCAACGAAGAGAAGAUCA
rfam:Enterococcus sp. 7F3_DIV0205 scaffold00001, whole genome shotgun sequence.